ACCGUCCCGAUCUCCCCUCGGAGGAAUCAAGAGGGGCCGAGUUAUCUAAUUAAUGCUGGCAGAAGCGGGAGGCCGAGGGCUGGGGGGCGGCGGCGGCCCACAAAGGCGGCGUGGGGAGCGGUCUCCCCGCCGCCGCCGCCGGCAUCCCCCGGCAAUGGGGCCCCACGCUGGGAGUGAGAGGUUGGCUGCUGGAGGCUGCGCCGUGACCCCCGUGCCGAAAAACACCACCUAAAACCCACAGGGAGGACAUGGAGGCAGAAGAACAGAGCCCGGCACACGUCAGGCAUCACAAAACCCUGACGGCACCAGGAGCGGCACAAUCCCAGCCCCGGGAUGCUGCAGGCCAGAUUUACAUGUACAGCUGAAUUUCAAUCCAAUGUAAAACUUCCAGGUGGGAAUGGGAGAAGAGAGGAACCAGAACCCAGCCAGUGAUCUCAGGACUGGUGCUCCUUUCCAGCUCCAAUGAUGUCGCCAGACUCUGCCGGGACACAGAGCUCCCACUCCCAGAGGGAGCUUUCACAAGGCACUAAGCAAAGCUCAUGUUUAAACCUAAAAAUAACCCAGCCCUUGGGCCUGGGGAGGAGGAGGGCAGAGCACCCAGCCUGUCCCGCUCCAGCGCCAGCAGUUUCCAAUUGCCUGCGGAC